UACGAGGGGUGCAAGCGUUGUUCGGAUUCAUUGGGCGUAAAGGGUGCGUAGGUGGCGUUGUAAGUCAGGUGUGAAAUCUCGGAGCUCAACUCCGAAACUGCACUUGAUACUGCAAUGCUUGAGUACUGGAGGGGAGAUUGGAAUUUACGGUGUAGCAGUGAAAUGCGUAGAUAUCGUAAGGAAGACCAGUGGCGAAGGCGAAUCUCUGGACAGUUACUGACACUGAGGCACGAAGGCCAGGGGAGCAAACGGG
rnacentral:rRNA from 1 species